AAACUUACUACCGAAGCUACGGCAUCAGUAAUGAUGGGUAGGGGAGCUUCCCAUACGGGUUGAAGCAUGCCCGUAAGGACAUGUGGACAGUAUGGGAGUGAGAAUGUUGGCAUGAGUAGCGAGAUGUGGGUGAGAACCCCACAGGCCGUAAACCCAAGGUUUCCAGGGGAAGGUUCGUCCGCCCUGGGUUAGUCGGGACCUAAGCU
rnacentral:rRNA from 1 species